GAUGAAGAACGUAGCGAAAUGCGAUAAGUAAUGUGAAUUGCAGAAUUCAGUGAAUCAUCGAAUCUUUGAACGCACAUUGCGCCCGCUAGUAUUCUGGCGGGCAUGCCUGUCCGAGCGUCAUUUCAACCCUCAAGCCCCCGGGCUUGGUGUUGGGGAUCGGCGAGCCUCCGCGCCCGCCGUCCCCUAAAUCUAGUGGCGGUCUCGCUGUAGCUUCCUUUGCGUAGUAGCACACCUCGCACUGGGAAACAGCGCGGCCACGCCGUUAAACCCCCAACUUCUGAACGUUUGACCUCGGAUCAGGUAGGAAUACCCGCUGAACUUAAGCAUAUCAAUAAGCGGAGGA
rnacentral:misc_RNA from 1 species